rnacentral:rRNA from 1 species
AUGUCCUCACAUCGCUGGUCACGAAAUCUCAGGAGAGUUGGAGUCUUGAGUAUGAUGUCGGGUUGCACCCCCAUGCAAAGACUUUCCGUCUACGCGGAUGAUGUGGUUCUAUUUAUUAGACCUACCAUCCCGGAUCUUCGAUUUGUCAAGGAGGCCUUGCAUAUAUUUGGGACUGCUUCGGGACUGAACAUAAAUUACUCCAAGUCCACGGCCAUCAUGAUUAGGGAUGAUGAAGGUGACAAGGAGUUGGUGGCGGGUGCAAUGCCAUGGAGCAUGGACUCUUUUCCUUGCAAGUACCUGGGGCUGCAGCUCUCCAUAUGGCAAUUGACACGCUCGGAAUGGCAACCGAUUGUGGAUACUGUGCUCAAUUUCAUGCCAGGCUGGCAAAAAGGGAUGAUCACUAGGGCUGGGAGGUCAGUCCUGGUUCAUGACGUUGUGAUGGCAUGCCCCACUCACCAUCUUAUCAUAGCGGAUGCUCCUAAAUGGGCAAUUGAGCAAGUAAAUAAAUGGUGCAGAGCUUUCUUUUCGGAAGGAUCGGAAGUGAUUCAUGGAGGUAAAUGCCUUGUGGCUUGGCAAAGGGUUUGCAGGCCUAAAGAGCUAGGUGGCCUCGGAGUACUUGAUCUAUACCGUCAAGGCCUGGCUCUAAGGUUGCGUUGGGAGUGGCUCAGACGUACUGACCCUAGCCGACCAUGGCAUGGGCUCCCGACGGCGAGCGACCCUCAGGUGCAGAGGGUGUUUGACAGCCUUGUGCAUUGGAAACUUGGUGAUGGCAGCAAGGUUCUGUUUUGGAAGGAUAGAUGGAUGGAUGGUGGAACUGCUAAGGAGAUUGCUCCGGGCAUAUGGAGCAAGGUUCGCACCCAAACGGUGAACAAGCGGACAGUGUAUGAGGGGCUGAUGAACCACCGAUGGGCCGGGGAUAUCUCAGGAGAUCUUACCACUGAUGAUCUAGUCCAGUUAAUCAAGCUUUGGGAGAUUGCUAUUGUUACACAUCUUGACCCUACCCAAAGAGAUGAGGCGAUAUGGCCCUGGAACUCCAAGAAAGCCUAUACCUCGGCAUCAGCUUAUCAGAUGCUAUUCAAAGGUGUAAUUAGUGUGGCCUACGCGCGUUGGGUGUGGAAAAGCUGGGCACCCCUCACCUGCAAAAUCUUCUUGUGGCUUGCAAUACAACAUAGGAUUUGGACUUCGGACCGGAGGCUUCGGCAUGGACUACAGGAUGACCCCUCCGCCUGUUAUCUAUGUGAUCAGGAGGAGGACAAUGUGGAGCAUCUUCUCAUCCAAUGCAUCUACUCACGGCAGGUAUGGAACAUGAUCUUUCCAGCGUAA